rnacentral:rRNA from 1 species
CAGCAGCCGCCGCGGUAAUACAGAGGGUGCGAGCGUUAAUCGGAUUUACUGGGCGUAAAGCGUGCGUAGGCGGCUUCUUAAGUCGGAUGUGAAAUCCCUGAGCUUAACUUAGGAAUUGCAUUCGAUACUGGGAAGCUAGAGUAUGGGAGAGGAUGGUAGAAUUCCAGGUGUAGCGGUGAAAUGCGUAGAGAUCUGGAGGAAUACCGAUGGCGAAGGCAGCCAUCUGGCCUAAUACUGACGCUGAGGUACGAAAGCAUGGGGAGCAAACAGGAUUAGAUACCCCAGUAGUCCCUGUCUUUAUACA